rnacentral:rRNA from 1 species
CAGCAGCCGCGGUAAUACAGAGGAUGCAAGCGUUAUCCGGAAUGAUUGGGCGUAAAGCGCGCGCAGGCGGAUCAGUUAGUCUGUCUUAAAAGUUCGGGGCUUAACCCCGUGAUGGGAUGGAAACUGCUGAUCUAGAGUAUCGGAGAGGAAAGUGGAAUUCCUAGUGUAGCGGUGAAAUGCGUAGAUAUUAGGAAGAACACCAGUGGCGAAGGCGACUUUCUGGACGAAAACUGACGCUGAGGCGCGAAAGCCAGGGGAGCGAACGGGAUUAGAUACCCGCGUAGUCCCUGUCUCUUAUACA